GAUGGAUCAUUUCUACCGUGGUGCUCUGGAAGUUAGUCCUGCAGGUCCACGGGAAGCCUGCUCUACUGCCUUGCCAAAAUUUGGAACCGUACGUUAUGAUAACAUCUGUGGAGAUAAGGGAUAAUAAGAGAAGAAGAAUUUGAAGUUGGUGAUCUACAAUUACAUUCAGCCUCUCAGAAGCUGGCAUGAAAAGUUUUAAAAUGGACUCAACUAGUGUAUGCGCUUUUCCAGGGGAGGAUGCUAGAGAAAACAAAAG